rnacentral:rRNA from 1 species
GAUGAACGCUGGCGGCGUGCCUAAUACAUGCAAGUCGAGCGAACAGACGAGGAGCUUGCUCCUCUGACGUUAGCGGCGGACGGGUGAGUAACACGUGGAUAACCUACCUAUAAGACUGGGAUAACUUCGGGAAACCGGAGCUAAUACCGGAUAAUAUAUUGAACCGCAUGGUUCAAUAGUGAAAGACGGUUUUGCUGUCACUUAUAGAUGGAUCCGCGCCGCAUUAGCUAGUUGGUAAGGUAACGGCUUACCAAGGCAACGUUGCGUAGCCGACCUGAGAGGGGGAUGGCCCACCCUGAACCUGGGCCACGUUCCAGCCUCCAAGGGAGGGCAGCGGUGGGAAAUCUUCGGCAAGGGGGGAAAGCCUGACGAAGCAACGCGGCUUGGUUGAUGAAGUUCUUCGAUUCGUAAAACUCUGUAUUAGGGAAGAACAAAUGUGUAAGUAACUAUGCACGUCUUGACGGUACCUAAUCAGAAAGCCACGGCUAACUACGUG